rnacentral:rRNA from 1 species
CAAGCGGUGGAUGAUGUGGAUUAAUUCGAUGCAACGCGAAGAACCUUACCUACCCUUGACAUGUCUGGAACCUUGCUGAGAGGCGAGGUGCUUCGGGAGCCAGAACACAGGUGCUGCAUGGCUGUCGUCAGCUCGUGUCGUGAGAUGUUGGGUUAAGUCCCGCAACGAGCGCAACCCUUGUCACUAGUUGCCAUCAUUUAGUUGGGCACUCUAGUGAGACUGCCGGUGACAAACCGGAGGAAGGUGGGGAUGACGUCAAGUCCUCAUGGCCCUUAUGGGUAGGGCUUCACACGUCAUACAAUGGUCGGUACAGAGGGUUGCCAAGCCGCGAGGUGGAGCCAAUCCCUUAAAGCCGAUCGUAGUCCGGAUCGCAGUCUGCAACUCGACUGCGUGAAGUCGGAAUCGCUAGUAAUCGUGGAUCAGAAUGUCACGGUGAAUACGUUCCCGGGUCUU